UUUGGAUGGACUCGCGGCCUAUCAGCUUGUUGGUGAGGUAAUGGCUCACCAAGGCGACGACGGGUAGCCGGCCUGAGAGGGUGACCGGCCACACUGGGACUGAGACACGGCCCAGACUCCUACGGGAGGCAGCAGUGGGGAAUAUUGCACAAUGGGCGCAAGCCUGAUGCAGCGACGCCGCGUGAGGGAUGACGGCCUUCGGGUUGUAAACCUCUUUCAGUAGGGAAGAAGCGAAAGUGACGGUACCUACAGAAGAAGCACCGGCUAACUACGUGCCAGCAGCCGCGGUAAUACGUAGGGUGCGAGCGUUAUCCGGAAUUAUUGGGCGUAAAGAGCUCGUAGGCGGUUUGUCGCGUCUGUCGUGAAAGUCCGGGGCUUAACCCCGGAUCUGCGGUGGGUACGGGCAGACUAGAGUGCAGUAGGGGAGACUGGAAUUCCUGGUGUAGCGGUGGAAUGCGCAGAUAUCAGGAGGAACACCGAUGGCGAAGGCAGGUCUCUGGGCUGUAACUGACGCUGAGGAGCGAAAGCAUGGGGAGCGAACAGGAUUAGAUACCCUGGUAGUCCAUGCCGUAAACGUUGGGCACUAGGUGUGGGGACCAUUCCACGGUUUCCGCGCCGCAGCUAACGCAUUAAGUGCCCCGCCUGGGGAGUACGGCCGCAAGGCUAAAACUCAAAGGAAUUGACGGGGGGCCCGCACAAGCGGCCGAAGCAUGCCGGAUUAAUUUCGAUGCCACCGCGAAAGAACCUUUACCAAGGGCUUGGACAUG
rnacentral:rRNA from 1 species